CAGGCUUAACACAUGCAAGUCGAGGGGCAUCAGGAAGAAAGCUUGCUUUCUUUGCUGGCGACCGGCGCACGGGUGAGUAACACGUAUCCAACCUGCCCUUUACUCGGGGAUAGCCUUUCGAAAGAAAGAUUAAUACCCGAUAGCAUAAUGAUUCCGCAUGGUUUCAUUAUUAAAGGAUUCCGGUAAAGGAUGGGGAUGCGUUCCAUUAGGUUGUUGGUGAGGUAACGGCCCACCAAGCCUUCGAUGGAUAGGGGUUCUGAGAGGAAGGUCCCCCACAUUGGAACUGAGACACGGUCCAAACUCCUACGGGAGGCAGCAGUGAGGAAUAUUGGUCAAUGGGCGCUAGCCUGAACCAGCCAAGUAGCGUGAAGGAUGAAGGCUCUAUGGGUCGUAAACUUCUUUUAUAUAAGAAUAAAGUGCAGUAUGUAUACUGUUUUGUAUGUAUUAUAUGAAUAAGGAUCGGCUAACUCCGUGCCAGCAGCCGCGGUAAUACGGAGGAUCCGAGCGUUAUCCGGAUUUAUUGGGUUUAAAGGGAGCGUAGGUGGACUGGUAAGUCAGUUGUGAAAGUUUGCGGCUCAACCGUAAAAUUGCAGUUGAUACUGUCAGUCUUGAGUACAGUAGAGGUGGGCGGAAUUCGUGGUGUAGCGGUGAAAUGCUUAGAUAUCACGAAGAACUCCGAUUGCGAAGGCAGCUCACUGGACUGCAACUGACACUGAUGCUCGAAAGUGUGGGUAUCAAACAGGAUUAGAUACCCUGGUAGUCCACACAGUAAACGAUGAAUACUCGCUGUUUGCGAUAUACAGUAAGCG
rnacentral:rRNA from 1 species